rnacentral:rRNA from 1 species
UACGUAGGGUGCAAGCGUUAAUCGGAAUUACUGGGCGUAAAGCGUGCGCAGGCGGUUUUGUAAGUCUGUCGUGAAAUCCCCGGGCUCAACCUGGGAAUUGCGAUGGAGACUGCAAGGCUAGAAUCUGGCAGAGGGGGGUAGAAUUCCACGUGUAGCAGUGAAAUGCGUAGAGAGUCGGAAAGAACACCAACGGCGAAAGCACUCUGCUGGGCCGACACUGACACUGGAGAAGACGAAAGCUAGGGGAGCGAAUGGG